ensembl:snRNA U1 U1 spliceosomal RNA
AGUCAUACCUGGCAGGGGAGAUGCUCAUAAAGGUUGUUUUCACAGCGCAUGGCCUAUUCAUUGUAUUCCAAAUGUUUUGACCCCUGCAUUUUCCCUAAAUACGGGAAACGUGACUGUAUAAUUUGUGGUAACGGGGAAAUGCAUAACUGCUAAGCCACC